CCAAUAGCGUAUAUUAAAGUUGUUGCAGUUAAAAAGCUCGUAGUUGAAUUUCGGGAUUGACGUGAUGGUCGUGCCUUACGGGGUAUGAACUGUUGCUGUUGAUUUCUCACCUUCUGGAGAAACUUGAUGUCCUUAAUUGGGUGUCUUGCGGAUCCAGGACCUUUACCUUGAAAAAAUUAGUGUGUUUAAAGCAGGCAUUU
rnacentral:rRNA from 1 species